GGCUCUCCACGCCCGGGUCCGAGCCUCCGGGGCUUGGGGAGCGCAAAUAGAUCUCGGCGAGCAGCGGAAGCAGCCGGUGGCGCCUCGGGCUGCGGUGGCGACGAGCCCGACUGCACCACGGCGCUGCGGGACCGCGCCAGCGCGGAGGAGACGGAGCCCAUCUCAGCGGGCCGGGCUGGGCCCAGGCCUCUGACCUCAUCCAUCAAGCACAGGAGAGCUCCCUCCGGAUUUCCACCAGUGGGUGCUCAGCCCAGUGUGCACUGAGGGGCAUUAGAAAGAUCUUCUGACUCACCUAGCCAAAUCUUGUAAGCUUGUCACCAACUGGAGGACUUUGGAUCCUGAAGUUUUACCAUUGACAAUGUUGAAUUUUACCUGAGGCCUGUGUUCCUGGAAAAGAGUGAAGGUGAAGAAAUCCUCACCCUUUUGUGUUCUGGAAAACAGCUUACUACAAAAAAAACACCCUUCCCCAAACAACUUGGAAAAGACUCAAGGAUGCCCCUUUGCUUACCUAUGACAAGGCUAGACACUAACACCCCAAAUUCCCGUUCUUUGCCUCAUAAGCAACUAGCUGGACUAUUUUCAUCCCCACUGAUCAAUUGGACAAAAUGCCUGUUAACCAGACUCCUUGGUCAGGUUGGGGAAACUAGAAUCAACCAGAAUGUUAGUGGCAACAGAGCCCAGAGUAGGGUCCAAGUCUUCCACCCCAGGCUCCAUCUCCUUCCAGCACAACCACAGGUACCAUUUUCACCAGCUUCAUGGCUCUAUCUCAUUUUCAGCCUUCUUCUAACUACUCUCUGCUGAGGUAGUCUAACAAUUCCCAAGAGAGUUCAGAGGGCUCCAGAGAAGACCCCAAACUCCUAUAGUGUAUCACCCCCUUAUCCAUAGGGAAUACAUCCCAAGACCCCCAGUAGAUGCCUGAAAUAGUGAACCCUAUAUAUGCUAUGUUUUUUCUUAUACAUACAUACCUAUGAUAAAGUUUAACUUAUAAAUUAGGCACAGUAAGAGAUUAACAACAAUAACUAAUAAUAAAAUAGAACAACUAUAACAAUAUACUGUAAUACAAGUUAUAUGAAUGUGGUCUCUUUCUCUCUCUCAAAAUAUCUUGUUGUACUGUACUCCCCCUUCUUGUGAUGACUUGAGAUGACACAAUGCCUAUGUGAUGAGAUGAAGUGAGGUGAAUGACGUAGGCCUUGUGACAUACUGUUAGGCUACUAUUGUCCUUCUCACAAUGUCAGAAGGAAGAUCAUGGAGCCAUGAUGGUGGCAAUGAAAGGUUAUAGGUAUUAUUCACCCUCAUUCUGUAUCCAAACAAAACAAGGGCUUAAAAGCUCAAAUGGAUUGCACAAACCUAAGUGAUGGGUAAGGAUACGCACAAGUCUAGCUCCAGAUCUCGGGUCUUCUGACUCCAACCAAUGUUCUGUCUGCUGUAAAAAUCAAAAAGAAACUUUUAAGUUGAAUCUUUGAGCCAUCUAUUUAUUCCAACUUACCAACCAGUGUAGGACUUCCUUCCAUAGGGCUCUGACAAAAAAAGUAAAAUUAAAAUUUAUAGCCCCUCCUUAAUGUCUCAGUAAUGAAGAGUUCAUUACUUUUUUAUAAUAUAUUCUUUUUCUAAUUAUUAAAGUAAUACACACUCAUGGCAUAAAAUUUGGAAACUACAGAAAAGCAUAAAGAAUAAAAUGUAAACUACCCAUAAUCCCACCACAUUGACAUAUCCUUUAUUUUCUACUUGCUAUUAAAAUACAAAUGAAGUAUAUGUUGACUUUUUAGUGGUAUUACACAGGAUAAUAUCCAAGAUAUGAUUUAUAUUACUUUUUGGAAUAGUGUCUUCCAAUCAUAUAUAUCCAUCCAAUCAUAUACACCCAGUCCAAUAUAUCUGUAUUUUACAGAAUUAGAAUCAUACUUUAAUUACUAAUUUGUGACCAGAUUUUCUCCCUUAAUAUAUCAUCUUCAGAAUAUAAUUUAAAAUUUCCAUAAAACAUUUGAAUUGUUUACAAGAUAUUCAUUCAUUCUUUGACAUACCGUAACUUACUUAACUUCUACCCCAAUGUUGGUCAUUUAGAUUGUUGCUAUUUUUCAGAAUUACAAAAAUAACAUGGAAUGAACAUUAAUCUACUAGCCUAUUCCUGUGAUAGUUUAUUCACUGCAACUUUAUAAUAAGUUUUAAUAACAUUUUCCAAAAUCUUCUUGGAUAUUCUUACUCAAAUUUUCCUCUAGACACUUUUUUAUAACAUCCUCCUAAAAAAAUGAGAUAUUAUUUGAAAUGCAGUAAAUAUUACAGAUUAGUCUAAAGAGAUUUGAUAAAUUGACUCUUCUCAUUUCUUUUCAAAGCAGUCUACUUAUCAAUUAGACAGAAAAAAUUUUUUAAAAGCUGUUCUUAUUAAUGGUUCUAGACAAUAAUCAUCAAUGGCCCCUAAUAUCACAAGAGAGACAAGACCACCAACCAGAACAUGCCUCCUGAUGGAGGUUUAUAACACCACCUGUGAAGUGUCUUGCCAAAAAAAAAUCAAACCUGAAUUUGACCAGGCUUCUAGAUCUACUACCAAUUUAUAGGAAAUACGGAGAACAGAGGGUCGUGGCAAAUGACACCGCAGGGUUGCAAUCAGCAAAGUCUAGACUGAAAUUUUACAGGACAAGCAACUGAUUUCUUCAACAAAUAAAUUGCAAGUGGAGGCAGGGGAGAAUCUUAUACAUUAAAGCCAUUUAAGAAACAUGUCAACCAAUUGUAAUGUAUGAACUUUAUUUGGUUCCUGAUUCAAGCAAACUACUACCAAAAAACUUUGUACAAUAAUUGGAAAAAUGUAAAAACUAUCUGGAUAUUUGAUGAUGUUAAGAAAUUAUUGUUAAUAUUUUAGAUGAAAUAAAUUUUAUGCUUAAUUUUUUAUAAACAUUCUUUGACUUUAAAGAUGCUUACUGAAAUGUUUACAGAUGAAAUGAUAUGUCUGGGAUUUGCUUCACAUUAACCAGAGUAAAGGCAUGAGGGGUGUAGAGAUGA
rnacentral:lncRNA from 1 species